rnacentral:rRNA from 1 species
GCGUGCUUAACACAUGCAAGUCGAACGGAAAGGCCCUGCUUUUGUGGGGUGCUCGAGUGGCGAACGGGUGAGUAACACGUGAGUAACCUGCCCUUGACUUUGGGAUAACUUCAGGAAACUGGGGCUAAUACCGGAUAGGAGCUCCUGCUGCAUGGUGGGGGUUGGAAAGUUUCGGCGGUUGGGGAUGGACUCGCGGCUUAUCAGCUUGUUGGUGGGGUAGUGGCUUACCAAGGCUUUGACGGGUAGCCGGCCUGAGAGGGUGACCGGCCACAUUGGGACUGAGAUACGGCCCAGACUCCUACGGGAGGCAGCAGUGGGGAAUAUUGCACAAUGGGCGGAAGCCUGAUGCAGCAACGCCGCGUGCGGGAUGACGGCCUUCGGGUUGUAAACCGCUUUCGCCUGUGACGAAGCGUGAGUGACGGUAAUGGGUAAAGAAGCACCGGCUAACUACGUGCCAGCAGCCGCGGUGAUACGUAGGGUGCGAGCGUUGUCCGGAUUUAUUGGGCGUAAAGGGCUCGUAGGUGGUUGAUCGCGUCGGAAGUGUAAUCUUGGGGCUUAACCCUGAGCGUGCUUUCGAUACGGGUUGACUUGAGGAAGGUAGGGGAGAAUGGAAUUCCUGGUGGAGCGGUGGAAUGCGCAGAUAUCAGGAGGAACACCAGUGGCGAAGGCGGUUCUCUGGGCCUCUCCUGACGCUGAGGAGCGAAAGCGUGGGGAGCGAACAGGCUUAGAUACCCUGGUAGUCCACGCUGUAAACGGUGGGUACUAGGUGUGGGGUCCAUUCCACGGGUUCCGUGCCGUAGCUAACGCUUUAAGUACCCCGCCUGGGGAGUACGGCCGCAAGGCUAAAACUCAAAGGAAUUGACGGGGCCCCGCACAAGCGGCGGAGCAUGCGGAUUAAUUCGAUGCAACGCGUAGAACCUUACCUGGGUUUGACAUGGAUCGGGAGUGCUCAGAGAUGGGUGUGCCUCUUUUGGGGUCGGUUCACAGGUGGUGCAUGGCUGUCGUCAGCUCGUGUCGUGAGAUGUUGGGUUAAGUCCCGCAACGAGCGCAACCCUUGUUCACUGUUGCCAGCACGUUAUGGUGGGGACUCAGUGGAGACCGCCGGGGUCAACUCGGAGGAAGGUGGGGAUGACGUCAAGUCAUCAUACCCCUUAUGUCCAGGGCUUCACGCAUGCUACAAUGGCUGGUACAGAGAGUGGCGAGCCUGUGAGGGUGAGCGAAUCUCGGAAAGCCGGUCUCAGUUCGGAUUGGGGUCUGCAACUCGACCUCAUGAAGUCGGAGUCGCUAGUAAUCGCAGAUCAGCAACGCUGCGGUGAAUACGUUCCCGGGGCUUGUACACACCGCCCGUCAAGUCAUGAAAGUUGGUAACACCCGAAGCCGGUGGCCUAACCGUUGUGGGGGAGCCGUCGAAGGUGGGACUGGUGAUUAG